rnacentral:lncRNA from 1 species
AAAAAAACUUUUCCUCUACCCUCUUAUAUUCAGUUACUGCGGCCUGUGAAUCAAACUAACAAACUUGAGGUUAAUAAGCAUUAAAAACUUACUUGGCUGGGCACAGUGAUACACACCUGUAAUCCCUGCAGCUCUGGAGACUGAGAAAGGAGGAUUGUAAGUCCAAAGCUAGACUCAGCAAAAGCAAGGUGCUAAGCAACUCAGUGAGACCCUGUCUCUAAAUAAAAUACAAAAUAGGGCUGGGGAUGUGUCUCAGUGGUUUAGUGCCCCUCAGUUCAAUCCCCAGUACAAAAAAAAAAAAAAAAACAAUUGAUGUAAAUAUUUUUACUUGCAUGGGCAGGGGAAACCUCACAAAAAAAGGAGAACCCAAGACAGUGGUCAGUUUCAGGGGCUUAUAUACCAUUCUUACAAAAGGCCAUAAAUUUUGAAGUGACUAAACAAAAGAAAGGGGAUGGUUUGGUCUUGUGGGGAUAGUAAACUGUGGAAGGUUAAAUGCAUGGUGAUUGUGUUUAUCACAAUAUUAUCUCAGUGCUAUCUCUAGAUAUGAAAACAGUGAUUAAGAGUUACUAUUUUCCUGGUGCGUGAGAGAAGAACACCUUGACAAAUGUAAUAUUUUCCAUUGUACAAAGGGAAAACUAUCCCUGCUUUUAUAAGAGGAAGGACAAAAAGAUUUUUCUCUCUCUGCUUUUUCCCAGAUGGCUUCAGCUCAAAAUAAUUUGUAUACCAAAGUGGCAUAUUUUGGGUGGUAUAUUCUGGACCCCUUCACUGGAAGUAGGAAUAUAACCUAAGUGAAGUCAGAAUUAGACAGGCAGUCAGUGUAGACAGGUAAAUCGAGUCAGGUUGGACCUGGGAGGCCAAUUUUGAGUGAGUCUGGGAAGUUGGAGACUGUCCCCUGAGAGAACCUGCCCCUGCUCCAACCUGUGGCCGAGGUAACCUGCCCCAGGAAUUUCCCCUCCCUCCAGGGAGCUAUAAGGUUGUUAAUGUGUCCUGGGCUGCUCCACCUGCCCUUCCCCUUCAGCCCACCUGUUUCCCACCUUUUGGCCUCCCACUGAGCAUUCCUGGGCCUGGUCACCUCUGCAGGAAGGAGAAAGAUAAAGGGGAAAAGGCCGGAGAACAAAGCAAGCCUAGGACAUAUUAAAAGGGCAGAACACCUUCCCUCUUGGGAUACCAGAAUACCAGCUAUGGCCCCCUUCUCACUCACAGGAGAAGUCUAUGUUACCCCUUUUAAAUAAGCCCUGCUUCAUAUGCUUGCCUCGGCUGCUUCUCUAAUGUCCUGUGGGGAAGCAGGACUCAUCACCGGUAACCAGCGGUAUCAUAAAGAUGAGGGUGAAGUCUGUAAAGACAGUGGCUAUAUUUUUUUUCAGUCAUCAUUGAACCAGGGUCUAAAGGUGCCUUACAUAUGGUCAGCACUCAGCUGAGUGAGUGAAUAAACCAGUGGAUAAAUAGAUGGGUGGAUGAGUGGAUAUUGAAUAAAAUAGGACUGGAACAACUGCAAAGUAUAGCUUAUUGAAUGUUGACUUCCAUUAAAUACCAUCUAAACAACCUGUUGACAAAGCAAAGUUUAUGGCGGGAAGAGAGAUCAUUAUCUUGGCAGUCUUGGUCUCUAGAGUAGGGCAGGUAACUUCAAGAUAUUUAUGUAUACGAAUCUGAUUUAAUGUGGGACUGAUUAAGAUUGGGGAAGGGUCAUGAUGUAAUACUUCAGGAUCAUGGAUAGAGCAAGGUGAGUUAACACUUAUUUGCUGCUGCCUUUCAAAAAGUUAAACAGUGGGGUGGGGAUGUGGCUCAGUGGUGGAGUCUCUCCCCAGCACUUACAAGGC